UUUGGUGAUGGCACUAUAAUUGACCUCUAACAUCUCUACAUACUAACAAUUCUAAUUAGUACGAAGUCUUUAACUAAUCCCCUUCGUCUGUUCGUUUACAGUUUCUCGCCGGCUUCCACUCCCGAAUCGAACAAGGCAUUCAUGGCUCAGAUGAACCAAGGUGACGUGAUGAGGCAAGCUUUCCCACCGAACGUGGAAUCGAAGGCCGCCGAGGCGAACACGGCCGCCGAGCCGGUGGUCCCGAAGACGGAGUCCGAGUCGGCAUGAUUAACGCCCACCUGUGACCCCAUCGCCUACGACUUCGUGCCCGCCGACCGGCUCUACAGGAUCUUCACGCAGCACUCGUACUUCAACGAGAACCUCGUCUUCCAGAUGAGGUACAAUAAAGUCUGGUGCCGUUAACUUAUAACUGCGUGUUUCGUACUUGUAUUGUGUUUUGUGUGGAAAGGAUGUUUUUGAUCGUGUCGCUACUGUGUGUUUUACGUAUUGCUAAAAUAUUACCUCUCUAGGAUUUGAUGUCAAUUUUUGGGGAUAUAAAUUAUCAAAAACAGUUUUUUCGCACCAAUUGUGUCAUAUUAAGACUUUCUUGAAAUAAUCCUAGCAUGCGUAAAUUGAAAGUAGUUUUUUCUCAGAUUUCUAAUUGUAGUUCAAUCAGGGUCAAAAAUUCAAAUGAAAUAAAAAAGAAACCAUAAUCAAUAUCAGUCAUUUUUCACAUUUUUAUUGAAUAAAUUGAUUGAAUAUUGAAACGCCGCUCACAUUGUCAUACGACACAGGCAGCUUAUUCGUGUGUGUGUGUAGUGUGUUUCAAUAUCCGGUGUAAUUUCUAUUUGACACAAUCGCUGGGGGUAAUAAAUAUAGCCAUCAUUGGGGUAAAAUCUGUGUGGUAUAGUCGCGGUAAUAUUGAAAAAGAAAUGUGCUGUGACAUUUCUUUUUCAAUAGUUAUGUGACACUGUCCUUUCUAUUAUAAAACAUAGUACAACAGGUAUAGGAGGUGUCGUGGAAAUGACUUGAAUGAUAAUAAAAUUAUUGAAAUGAUUUUGAUUUUAUGUGUAUGAAAAAAAAAUGAUUUCAAAUUAUGAAUUUGAAGAGUUUAAACAAAAUGAUCUGAUUUUACAACGAUUUAUUCGAAUAUUUAAAUUUUAUAGUAAUUUUGUUUAAUAUUUUAAUUACUAAUAAAUUUUAAGUCAUUUCACGACACCACCUAACCUCGAUAUAUCGGCGCUCCUCACACCGACCUGAAUUCGAUUAAACGGACGUAUUAUAAAAAA